ACCUUGAUAGUGUAAUGGUAGCACGUCCGCGGUAUGGAUGAAACACGGGUUCGAUUCCCGUCUAAGGUA